rnacentral:rRNA from 1 species
UACGUAGGGGGCUAGCGUUGUCCGGAAUCAUUGGGCGUAAAGCGCGCGUAGGCGGCCAGAUAAGUCCGGUGUGAAAGCCACAGGCUCAACCUGUGAAUGCCGCUGGAAACUGUCUGGCUAGAGUCCGGGAGGGGCGAGUGGAAUUCCUGGUGUAGCGGUGAAAUGCGCAGAUAUCAGGAGGAACACCAAUGGCGAAGGCAGCUCGCUGGAACGGAACUGACGCUGAGGCGCGAAAGCGUGGGGAGCGAACAGG